rnacentral:rRNA from 1 species
GUAGUCUCGCACAGAUGCAUAUCAAUAAGCGGAGGAAAAGAAACUAACAAGGAUUCCCCUAGUAACGGCGAGUGAAGCGGGAAGAGCUCAAAUUUGAAAUCUUAAAGGGUUUCCCUUUACGAAUUGUAGUUUAAAGAAGUGUUUUCUGUUGAGGUUUUGGUAAAAGUUCUUUGGAAUAGGACAUCAUAGAGGGAUGAGAAUCCCGUAUUUGACCUUUACUUUCAACUUUGUGAUACACUUUCAAAGAGUCGGAUAUUGUUUGGGAAUGCAGUCCAAAAUGGGUGGUAAAUUUCAUCUAAAGCUAAAUAUUGGCGAGAGACCGAUAGCGAACAAGUACCGUGAGGGAAAGAUGAAAAGAACUUUGAAAAGAGAGUUAAACAGUACGUGAAAUUGUCAAAAGGGAAGCGUUUGACACCAGUGUUGUUUUUCUGAAAAUCAAUUAAAGAACUGUUUAUGCCUAAGCUGUUUAGACUUUAUCAGCUAAUCUGUUUAGUUUUGAGCUUUUCUUUAAUGCACUUUUCAGUUAACAAGUCAACAUCAAUUUCUUUUGCUGUAAAAAAGCUUGAGGAAGGUGGCUUGAGAUUCGUCUUAAGUGUUUAUAGCCUCUUGCCUAUGCAGUCGGAGAGAUUGAGGUCUGCAGCGUAGAUCCUUCGGGGCUAAAUGCAUUUGUGCUAAGUUAUAGCAUUUUAUAGACAACUUGUUGACUAUGAUUUGUCUUGUAGCUUACUCGCUUAUGUUAUUUUACCUACGCUUAGAUGUUGAGUAGCGACAUACGCAUC